rnacentral:lncRNA from 1 species
CACUACAAGAAAUAUUCCAUAUACCAACGGACACCUUUAGCCACAGUAGUUCUAGCCGUAGGUGUAGGUGUCUCUUAUCCGUGGGUAUAGGUCUGGAAUUUUUUUUCACAUUUCCCGCUGUGAAUUUGGUGAAUAUUGAACGUGCGGGGUUAUUGCCCUCCUUAAUUUUUUGCUUAUUUUGAUUUUGAUUUCCGAAAAUAAUAAGAAAAAAAACUCAAAAGAUCUCAAACCCUAACAUCAUCACAUUCUCUUUCCCAUCGCUUAAUCCUUCGGUCUCCCACUGAAUCGACCGCCGCUCUCUCCCACUGAGUCGACCGCCGCUCUCUUUCCCAUCUCUUUCCCGCCGCUCUUUCCCAUCGCUUUCUUCGCGAGGUAAGUUCUCCUCAAUUGUGUUUAGCUUUAAUUUCAAUUGUGUUUUCCUCAAAUCUCAUAUAAAAUCCCCAAUUGAUUUUGUCGCUCCUUACAUCUGUCAUUAGCUUUAAUUUGAAUUGUGUGUUCUUCCUCAAAUCCCAUAUAAAAACCCUAAUUGACUUUGUUGUUCCUUAAAUUUGUGGUUAGCUUUAGUUUCAAUUGUUCCCCAAUGCACCGAUCUAGAAUAUGAAAUGGUUUAACUAGUCUUUU